GACCCUUUUUUGUAACAUUCACUCCAAUAAAGUAUUUUAAAUCUGUUCUUAUCAGUUUAAUAUCUGAUACGUCCUCUAUCUGAGGACUAUAUAUUAAAUGGAUUUUUGGAAUAGGGAGAUGGAAUAGGAGCUUGCUCCAUCCACUCCACGCAUCGACCUGGUAUUGCAGUAUCUCCAGGAAUGGUGCACCACCC
rnacentral:snRNA from 1 species